rnacentral:rRNA from 1 species
GCAGUCGAGCGAUUUACUUCGGUAAAGAGCGGCGGACGGGUGAGUAACGCGUGGGUAACCUGCCCUAUACACACGGAUAACGUACCGAAAGGUACGCUAAUACGAGAUAACAUAUUUUUAUCGCAUGGUAAGAAUAUCAAAGCUCCGGCGGUAUAGGAUGGACCCGCGUCUGAUUAGCUAGUUGGUAAGGUAACGGCUUACCAAGGCGACGAUCAGUAGCCGACCUGAGAGGGUGAUCGGCCACAUUGGAACUGAGACACGGUCCAAACUCCUACGGGAGGCAGCAGUGGGGAAUAUUGCACAAUGGGCGAAAGCCUGAUGCAGCAACGCCGCGUGAGCGAUGAAGGCCUUCGGGUCGUAAAGCUCUGUCCUCAAGGAAGAUAAUGACGGUACUUGAGGAGGAAGCCCCGGCUAACUACGUGCCAGCAGCCGCGGUAAUACGUAGGGGGCUAGCGUUAUCCGGAAUUACUGGGCGUAAAGGGUGCGUAGGUGGUUUCUUAAGUCAGAGGUGAAAGGCUACGGCUCAACCGUAGUAAGCCUUUGAAACUGAGAAACUUGAGUGCAGGAGAGGAGAGUAGAAUUCCUAGUGUAGCGGUGAAAUGCGUAGAUAUUAGGAGGAAUACCAGUUGCGAAGGCGGCUCUCUGGACUGUAACUGACACUGAGGCACGAAAGCGUGGGGAGCAAACAGGAUUAGAUACCCUGGUAGUCCACGCCGUAAACGAUGAGUACUAGCUGUCGGAGGUUACCCCCUUCGGUGGCGCAGCUAACGCAUUAAGUACUCCG